rnacentral:rRNA from 1 species
CAGCCCCGCGGUAAUACAGAGGGUGCGAGCGUUAAUCGGAUUUACUGGGCGUAAAGCGUGCGUAGGCGGCUUCUUAAGUCGGAUGUGAAAUCCCUGAGCUUAACUUAGGAAUUGCAUUCGAUACUGGGAAGCUAGAGUAUGGGAGAGGAUGGUAGAAUUCCAGGUGUAGCGGUGAAAUGCGUAGAGAUCUGGAGGAAUACCGAUGGCGAAGGCAGCCAUCUGGCCUAAUACUGACGCUGAGGUACGAAAGCAUGGGGAGCAAACAGGAUUAGAUACCCCCGUAGUCCCUGUCUCUUAUACA